rnacentral:rRNA from 1 species
CCUACGGGGGGCAGCAGUGGGGAAUAUUGGACAAUGGGGGGAACCCUGAUCCAGCCAUGCCGCGUGUGUGAAGAAGGCCCUCGGGUUGUAAAGCACUUUCAGUGAGGAAGAACGCCUGGUGGUUAAUACCCAUCAGGAAAGACAUCACUCACAGAAGAAGCACCGGCUAACUCCGUGCCAGCAGCCGCGGUAAUACGGAGGGUGCGAGCGUUAAUCGGAAUUACUGGGCGUAAAGCGCGCGUAGGUGGCUUGAUAAGCCGGUUGUGAAAGCCCCGGGCUCAACCUGGGAACGGCAUCCGGAACUGUCAAGCUAGGGUGCAGGAGAGGAAGGUAGAAUUCCCGGUGUAGCGGUGAAAUGCGUAGAGAUCGGGAGGAAUACCAGUGGCGAAGGCGGCCUUCUGGGCUGACACUGACGCUGAGGUGCGAAAGCGUGGGUAGCGAACAGGAUUAGAUACCCGAGUAGUC